GCUCCGAUGGCUUAGUGGUUAGAGCGUAGGUCUCGGAAGCGGGAGGUCGUGGAUUCAAUCUCCAGUCGAGUCA